GAGAAAGGAAGCCGGAGAGCGGGCGGGAGGGGGCGGGGGCGCUUAAAGGGGCCGAGGUCUCCGCCGGGCCCGGCGGGCAGACUUGCCUGCGGCCCUGGCCUCUGCUCCGGCGCUCCCCGGGCCCGGAGGCACUGUGUGUGAGUGGUCACGCCCUUGCUGAAUACGCAUGCCACCAACAAUAUGGACGCCCAAGUGCCGGAGAGGUCAUGCAGUGUAUGCCCCUGUCUCCGGGCUAAAAAUCAUCUAUCCCUCCAUCCACGCAUCCAUCUAGAGAGGAAGAAACCUGGACGGUUUUUAAAGACUUCCGAGGAGUGACCAGUGUGCCUGUGUGCUCUAAUAUCCAUUUGUCAUCUGCCUUGCAUACAUCCACGGUUUUUCUGA